UACAGAGGUCUCAAGCGUUGUUCGGAUUCAUUGGGCGUAAAGGGCGCGUAGGCGGCGCAACAAGUCACUUGUGAAAUCUCCGGGCUUAACCCGGAGCGGCCAGGUGAUACUGUCGUGCUAGAGUGCGGAAGGGGCUACUGGAAUUCUCGGUGUAGCGGUGAAAUGCGUAGAUAUCGAGAGGAACACCUGCGGCGAAGGCGGGUAGCUGGGCCGACACUGACGCUGAGGCGCGAAAGCCAGGGGAGCGAACGGG
rnacentral:rRNA from 1 species